rnacentral:snRNA from 11 species
AAAAAGGGCGCUCGUCUUAGCACGUUCCAAUGUUAGGAGCUUGAUUGCAGACGCAUUGCGCCGUUGGCUCAUCCAUACGCUCUUCGUGGGUGGGGGCGUGCGCUACAUUGCCGCCUUUGAUGGGUUCUGGCGUGCUCAGUGGGGUAUGGCUUUGCAUAUCCAGUGCGUAAUUUUUGUAUUUAGGGGCAGGCGGCUGCACUUUGGUGACAACCGAAUUGCGGAUUUGUCUGCGUGUCGGUGGUCCGUGCGCUGCGCCCCC